UGCUCUCCGCCCCCGCGGCCGUCGCUCCGCAGGCCCGGCCGGCCGUGUGGGAGCGGCGCUGCGGCUGCCGGCGAGGGGCGCGCCGGGCGGCGCGGGAGGAGGCGGCGAGCCGCGGGAGCUCUCACCGGGCUGUCCUCGCUCCUUAGGCAGCGCAGUCACCUCCCUGCCCCGCGUCUGUCCCCGCUGCGAGCUGUCUCUUGAGAUGUGCUGGGAACGCUCUGGCAGUGUUUGUUUGCUGGUCGCCUGUGAGGAUCAGCUCCUCCCUUCUGCCCGGCUCUGGGGCACGCGAAGUUUCCCACUGCACCUGAGGGGCUGCUGGGGGAUGUUCCUGUACCAGCAUUGCUGCUGAAUCCUCUUUAUUGUGAUCAUGCCACGACAUCGCUAAUGGAAAUCAAGUGUUUUUCCUGUGGCACAGACAGAUUUUGUGCAUGACUUAAUCUGAAUCAGUGUUUUUGCUGCCUGCUUCUCGUACAUUUCAUUUGGGUAAUUGACUGUGGUGACUCACAGGCAGGAGGGAAUUCAAAGAAAUCCGUGUUUAUUUACUUUAACGUGUUUGUCAGUAGCCUGCAGCGUUCAUGGUCUGUUUCAUGAUGUAUCCCUGCAGCAGAGUCAGUACUGUCUGUAAGAGUAGAAAGAUGAAAAUUUUAAUUUUGUUAAUCAGCCCAGCUGAAUCUUCCAGCACACAGGAAUCAGUGGCCCAGUACAGGGCUCUGAGUGUGAGAUGGAGGGAAGCUGACACUCAUGGUUUUCCCAUCUGUUCCUCUUGUAGCUCAGCUUAAUGCCUCUUCUAUUUCCAGCUCAUUUAUUACUUCUGCCUCUGCUUCUUAUGCAUAUUACCCAAAAGCUUGGGACCCUUAACCAUAGGAGUGGAUACUGUGUAAGAAGGAGGUAAACACAUACUGAUGGUGUACUUAUCCAUAUGACUAAAAGAAAACGUAUCACACAUCCAGGACCAAAGAAUAUCAUCCUGCUUUUAGAGUGGGAAGUGCAUCAUGGAGUGAUGAAGUAGUGACUAAACAGGAUUUGAGCAAGGACACAGAGAGAUAAUUCAGUCAGAACCUGCAGCUGAGGUGGAAAAAUUUGUCUGUUUCAAAUGGAAACUUACAAGAUGAAGAUGAGAGAGAAACAGAGUUCCUGUGAUUGAAUUUUAGAUCUGGAAUAUUUGCAAGAUCUUUGCUUCUUCAUCACCAGAAGUUCCAGUUAGUUCUUGUGGCGCUGACUGGGAGAGCCUCAAAAAGAGGAUUAUGAGGUGGGAGGGGAGCUGAGGUGACAGUUUUCAGCUGCAGUGUUUUGAGAGAGAUUGCUGAUGGCCUUCUUCCUCCCCGCUGGAAGAAGCAGGAUGAAAGGUGUAAGGACUUGUGCCACUCUGCAUAAUAAAGAGAGAUCUCCUGAAGUCUAGUGACUGGUUAUUUCCCUCUGCUGCCCAAGAAGGACCUGCUCUAAUGGAGAAAUGCUGCUUAAUUGGUUUUGCAGCAUUCCUGCAUUCCGUGUUGUCAGGACAUGAUGCUGUCCUGUUCUAGGAGGAUGAUGGCUCAGCAGACAAUCCUGUUGUCACAAAUGCAUAAGUAGUUCAGCAAGAAAUGUUACAAAGGCUCUCUGAUAUCACAGAAACGAGCAGCGGGGACAAUAGAACAUCUUGGGAAGAAAUGUCCUCUGUUGUUGAGGCAGACAUCACCUGGAGAAUUAAAGAAAGUUAUAAAUAGAGAAAUGCUUUUUAAAUAGAUUUUCUGUGAUGCUGCUGCAGGUCUUUGAAGAAUGAAGAUCAUUGACUGAUGUGUUUUAUUAAUGCUCCUUGGUGUGUCAGAGAAACAUCUGUCUUAUGAUUUGACCAAAAAUUCAUAUAAAUUUUGAUUGCUUGAUAUGAAAGAGAGUUUUAUUAGCACAAAUGGUGAUACUUAGUCCAUUUCCAGCACAGUAGCCUCUGUUUGUGAUGGCUUUGGACCGGAGUGCUGCCAUUCUUCUGAUACUUGGUACCUGCAUUUUCUGCUGGGCAGUCAAAGUGCUGCAUUUCAGUUGCAAACAGGUUUAGCUGAAGAAAGCCCCACCUUUAAUUUUCUCUUCUACUCCUGCACUGAAGUUUACUGUCUCAGUUUCAGGUCUGGCUCAUUAUGCUAUGACUCUUGAACCCAGUUUUAUAACCCAAAGAGAGAAAUGCAUGUACUGUUCCAUUUGUCUCAGCUGCUGGACAGUAACUUCUGGCAGUGGUGAACAUGCAACCACCUGAGUGAGCACAGCAACAUCUGCAAGUGGUCUGUGAGCUGAAGCCCUUUGUUACUCAGUCUCCUCCUCAGCAUGUACUAAUGAAAAGCAGCAAUUCCACGAGCAGUGGGACUACUCAGUCUUCAUCCAGGUUUUUUUGAGAUCAAACCAGUGCUGUGUUAUCUUUCCAGCCUUGUAGACAGAUUCCCACCUUUCUGUAACUGCUGUAUUUUGGGAGACAAAGGAAGUGUCUAAUGCCAGGGCAAAGCUGAAGGAACUGGGGAAAAUGUAUUGAAAGCUUCUUUAUUUUAAAAAAGUGAUACAACCUUGUGUACAAACAGAGAACAAAACCCCCUUUUGUUUCCAGUCGUUUUCCAUAGUUUGUCAAUUUCACCACUUAAAUUAUACAAACUGUGUGGAGUAUUUUGUUUGGGAUAUUCUGUCUAGCAAUGUAAGGAAAAAACUACAUUUAGAUGUAUUUGAUGGAGCAUUGUUUUUUAUUUUCUCUAAGGGAUAUUUGAGUUCUCAAUCAAACCAAAAAGUUAUAAAACAUCUUUUUCUUCAUUUCCUGUGAAAGUAUAUUUAAGGAAAUGAUUGAGUAGGCAGGUUGAAAACUGCUAAGUCACACUGGACUAAUAUAGUUAUUAAUAUGAACAUCUUUAAUUAGACUGUAACUUGUUUGUCCUGAUCUACUUGAUGAGUGGCAAAUUUCUCUUACCCAGAGGAGCUCCCUUGCAUCUCACUUUCAGUCUCUGAGCAAGUCAUCCUGUGAGUGUUGUGCCCCCCUUCCUAUGGGGAUUCUGGCUGUGAAAUAAGUUGUUUCCUUUGCUUAACCACUGAAGUAAAAGUAAAAAUGAAAAGAAAUGCUUUGGAAUCCAUGGUUACGUGGUAUUGAGUGCCCUAGAGGAUCAGCAGUUGCAACAAGUUUAGCUGCUCUCCUGGAAGUCUGAAGAUCCUGCUCCAGAGCUGCAGUGCUGGGAUGUUGCCAUGUGCCUGCUCACAUAUCUGUAUUUGAUGGAAAAACAAAGGCAGUAUCUGGGUGAUUAUGUAGCUGGGCCGGUAUUAAAAUCUGGAGUUGGGUUAAAAUUUAAUUAACUAAACCAUUGGAGAUCAUUUGAAUACCCUCUCCUUCUAAUUUUAUGGGAGCAGUUUUAGCUAGACCUUCUUCUGUACUAGUGAGUUUUCCCUACAAAAGGUCUGUAGCUAAAUUUCUCUGUGGGAUUUUACUGGCCACUGGAGGGCUGAGUAAUUCUUGUAAUCACAAGUACAAGCAGAAUUUGCUCAGUAGGAAAUACCUGUCAAAAACCCCCAACUUCAUAUCCCUAAAUUUCAGAUCACUAAAAGUGUAUGAAAAUUGUGAUUCAGUACAACUCUGGGAAGUACCAAAAAUGCUAUAGUAAAUUUAUUUUCUGCUGCUAUAUUUUAAAAUUUUAUUUCAGCUUCAAUAAAAUGGUGUUGUGUAUUUCAUA